UUUCUCUUUGAUUUUGCAGUGUUAAUUUUACUGUGUCGACAAGGUGUUGACACUAAAAGAUAUUUCUCGUGUGAAGGUGGCUCUGUUCCACUCAACUGUGAUUGGGGAUACAUAAAGGUGAUUACAGCCAACUAUGGGUGAACCGAUAACACAACCUGUUCCACUGGAAGAUCACUUCAUCAGCUCUCAAACGUUGACUGCUUCCAAGAGACAACCGUCCAUGUGAUG